CCUACGGGUGGCAGCAGUGGGGAAUAUUGCACAAUGGGGGAAACCCUGAUGCAGCGACGCCGCGUGAGUGAAGAAGUAUUUCGGUACGUAAAGCUCUAUCAGCAGGGAAGAAAAUGACGGUACCUGACUAAGAAGCCCCGGCUAACUACGGGCCAGCAGCCGCGGUAAUACGUAGGGGGCAAGCGUUAUCCGGAUUUAAGGGGUGUAAAGGGAGCGUAGACGGCAGCGCAAGUCUGGAGUGAAAUCCCAUGGCUUAACCAUGGAACUGCUUUGGAAACUGGGCAGCUAGAGUGCAGGAGAGGUAAGCGGAAGUCCUAGUGUAGCGGUGAAAUGCGUAGAUAUUAGGAGGAACACCAGUGGCGAAGGCGGCUUACUGGACUGUAACUGACGUUGAGGCUCGAAAGCGUGGGGAGCAAACAGGAUUAGAUACCCCUGUAGUC
rnacentral:rRNA from 1 species